rnacentral:rRNA from 1 species
GGCAAGUCUGGUGCCAGCAGCCGCGGUAAUUCCAGCUACCAAUAGCGUACGUUAAAGUUGCUGCAGUUAAAAAGCUCGUAGUUGAACGUUCGGGUUCCGCGGGACGGGGCCGCCCCGCGAGGGACGGCGCCGCCCCGGGGCUCGUGAUAUCUUAUCUCGCCGCCCGUCGCGAGGCGGACGGAGGGAUGGAUGAGGUUACCUGGAAAAAUCGGGGCGAUCUAGGCGGGCGAACCUCGCCAACGAACGAUCGGACAUGGGAUAACGGAAGAGGGCGUCGGCUCGACUUCGUCGGUUCCUCGGGCCGAGGCACGUACGGUGAAUAGGGACGGUCGGGGCCGCCCGUACCGGGUCGUGAGAGGUGAAAUUCUAGGAUCGACCCGAGACGAACUGCCGCGAAAGCAUUCGGCAAGGACGCUUUCAUUAAUCAAGAACGAAAGUACGGGGGAUC